rnacentral:rRNA from 1 species
UUCGGGGUGAGUGGCAGACGGGUGAGUAACGCGUGGGAACGUGCCCUUCAGUUCGGGAUAACCCAGGGAAACUUGGGCUAAUACCGGAUACGUGCAAGAGCAGAAAGAUUGAUCGCUGAAGGAUCGGCCCGCGUCUGAUUAGCUAGUUGGUGGGGUAAUGGCCCACCAAGGCGACGAUCAGUAGCUGGUCUGAGAGGAUGAUCAGCCACAUUGGGACUGAGACACGGCCCAAACUCCUACGGGAGGCAGCAGUGGGGAAUAUUGGACAAUGGGCGCAAGCCUGAUCCAGCCAUGCCGCGUGAGUGAUGAAGGCCUUAGGG